rnacentral:lncRNA from 1 species
AAGGGUUCAACUCUUUUGGUUAAUGUAUGGGCCAUCGCUCGAGACCCAAAAGAAUGGGUUGAUCCAUUAGAGUUCAAACCUGAAAGGUUCUUACCAGGUGGUGAGAAGUGUGAUGUUGAUGUUAAGGGAAAUGAUUUUGAAGUUAUACCUUUUGGUGCUGGACGUAGAAUAUGUCCUGGGAUGAGUCUAGGGCUUCGUAUGGUCCAACUUCUAACAGCUACACUGGCCCAUUCAUUUGAUUGGGAACUUGAAAAUGGACUCAAUGCUGGAAAAAUGAACAUGGAUGAAGGUUAUGGGUUGACACUGCAACGAGCUGUGCCAUUAUUGGUACACCCUAAACCUAGACUCUCGCCACACGUGUACUCGUCUUGUUUCUGAUUUUUAAGUUUGUGUUUGUGAAUUUUUUUCUUUUCUUACUAGUUGGUCCCUCGCUUCAAUUUCUUGCCUAGUUAUAAUAAUGUGAAUAAAUGGGAUUUGUCGUGUGCUGCUGUGUAAAGAUCUCAAAUGAGGGAAGGUGUAAUGUUAGUUCAGAUCUUGUGUGUUUCAAACUUUUGUGUGAAUAUAUACAAUUUUACUUGUUGUAACUUCUGAAAUAAACUAUAGGAGUAUGAUUCUUUCAAUUUCAAAAUUAAUAUGAAUAUUAACUCUUCUUUUCUUUUAAUUAAAAAAAUAGGUUAGGUUAGAGAUAACUAUCAAAUUAAAUAGUGUGAAUUUACAAUGAACUAACAAACAACCUAUAUCAGUAGGAAAAUUUCAUAUUUGAAUUCAAGUGACAAUUUAGUGUAACUUAUGUAAGUAGAAGGUCUAAUCAUUUUUGUCAUCCUCAAUUCGUAGAAUUUUUCAUCUAUAAAUAAAUGGAACAGGACAACUACAUUGUUAUGUAUUAUUACUAAUGAUUAAUGUUAUAUUAAUCAUCAAUUUUCAUCGCUAGAAAAAUAUAAAAUACAUGCAAAAUUCAGAGAUAUUAAAAAAUGUCUCUAUCAGAGACUGAUUUAGAGACAAAAUAAAUUAGUUCGAAACAAAACAAAAUUUUACAUUUUUAAACAAAAUAUAAAGUCAGAAUUGUUGUUACUAUGUCAAUCUAUCUCAAUAAUUUAUUCUAACUUGAAGUUAUAAUUUCAAGUUUUUGAAUCUAGAAUUGAUUUUUCGACUAAAAUUUAGUGCCCAUUUAUUAUAUAUUUUUUAUUAUUUUUAAAAUAGUAAUAAUAACCACUUAUAAGUUUGUUAUAGUUUUUUUUUUAAAAUCACAAAAAUAGUUUCAAAUGAAAAACUGUUAUGAGCAGCUUCUCAAAAAUUACCUAUCACUCGUAGUCGUAGAUAGAACAACUAAUCAUCCAUAUGGAGUUGUUAAGGAAGUGGCGGUACAAACAGACAAAAUUUUAUUUCUAUCAACAUGUGUGACAUUAGAGAUUCAAAGGAAGACUCAUUGACAACAUGAGCCUCAUUGUUUUAUGAGAAGGGAGAUCACAAAUUUCAAAAACUUACCGAGGUAAACAUGCAAACAUUGGCUUCUUUAUGCCAAAUGUAUGUUGUUCCUACCAAACAAGAGGAAGAAGAAGGAUGAUGUGUUAUUUCUUAUAUAUAAUCCACAUUAACAAUGGUUGAGGUGGCGAGCUAAUGACGUUAAACGAAAAUUGAGAUACUCUAUUCAUAAUUUAUGUAAUUUCAUCCAGGUUUUUCACUCACUUCACAUAGCUUUUUAUUCAUCUGGAUUAUUUUAAAUACGAUUUAAAUUCAUACGAAUCUAUGAUUUGAUUGGACCUAAUCAAUUGCAUUUUUCAGGAAGAGGUAGUAAGAUUGACAAGAAAUUUGGCAAGUGUUCAGACACAAAAGCUGUGAACUUGGGACAACUAUUGAAUGUAUGCACAAUCAAUGUUCCACAAAUCGAGUGUUAACUCGCCGAAUUUACCUAGUUUACGUUUUUAGCUACCAAAAUCGUGUUAACUCGGAGGUAAACUCGAUUUUUGGUAAAAUCGGAAUAUUUGACGAGUUUGACUAGAGUUAACUCGGUAAACUCGUGUAAACUCGACCGAGUUUACGUCUAAAAAAGAGAUUUAUGCUCAUUUCCCAAAUGGAUUCGCUCAUUCGCAAAGUAAAUGACCGAAAUGCCCUUAUGCAUGUUAACAUGCGCUAGUGCAAAUUAUAACGUAACUUAAGAUAAGUAGCGUGACUUAACAUGCGCUAGUGUAUUGUGAAACGUGAAUUAACUCACGUUGUCAUUUGCACUAGUGUGAGUUAACUCACGUUCAUAGCAGACAACAGAAACUGCAAUAAAUGCAGUGCAGUAACAGAACUGAAACUUGAAAAGUGUAGAAUGACCUGUAAUCACACCACAUUCAUAACUUAACCGAAUUAUGCCAGUUUAACAAGAUUAUCGGAUAAUACGACAUAAUCGAUCCAAAUUCUCAAAAACAUUGUUUUUCUCACAAUCACUUAAUCACACAUAAACAAUCCAAAUUUCAGAAAUUCGCCGGUAAUUACCCGUAAUAAUUUAAACAUACUUAAUGACACGUAAAUUACCCGGUGUUUACUUGAAUAACACGAACACCGGUAGGUACCGGUUUAGGCUUCUCUUCAAAGUUACCGGUAGGUACUGGUUUUGCUUGGUUGUGAACUAUGUGAGCUUUAACUUGAAAAGGAAUUUUCACUUUAAACUUCACAUCAUUGGUUGGUUUGCCUUCGCCGGAAACUUUGUUUUUGCCCAGUUCCGGCUCAACUCCAUCCUCCGCUACAUUUUCAACCAAGCCACUCAAUGUCUACUCAAUAAAAAAAACAAAGAAAAAAUAAAUAAGUGACUUGUGCGGCAUGCAAAGCAAAUAAAUAAAGUGGCGCAAAAUUUCAAAUUCUGGGCUACUGUCAGUAGCGAGAGUUAACUCACGCUAGUGCUAUCUACCUACGCAACUUAAGUCAUGUUGCCCUUACAACUAGCGUGAGUUAACUCACGCUGAGCCCUACGCCUACUGAAAUGAAAAACGAAACUACCAGCAAAACCAGCAAAAAUGAAAAAGUUUUGACGGUACAUUACAUGUUCUUUGAUGCUUGAUGAGCGUAGAAACUUAUUUCCUGAUGAUUUGCAAUGAUUUGGAAUGAAGAUUUUACCCAAAAAUUUCGCACUUUUUGGGUUUUUGGAGGUGGAGGGAAAGAAAAAAUGGAGCUUAGUGGUUGCCUGCUGGGUUUUGAACAAAAAUAGUACUUAACGCAAGUAACAUGCGCUACGUGACUUAACUCACGCUGCGUGACUUAAGUUAUCCUUAUAACUAGCGCAUGUUAACUCACGCUAUGCAAGUUAACAUGCGUAGGGGCAUUUUUGACUUUUAUUUUGGGAAUGAGCGAUACUGUUUGGGUAAUGAGCAAAAUUCUAAAAAAAAAUAAGAAAAAUUGGGCCAUUUUUUUAACCCAUUUCAUUUCAAAGCCCAAUUCCUCUUCUUCAAGCCCAAGGACUGAAUAAUUUCUUUUCUGUAACACGUUGUCUGGCUUCCUGAAAUUAAGCAUUUCUUUUUCUUUCUUCUCUUAGUUCUCAAACCAUGAACAGGAGAGCACAUACCAGUUAGGGUUAUAGUGGUGGAAGGAAAACUAUUCCGAUUGCGACGCCGGUGAUUGCGACGCCGGUAGUGGAACUUAUAAUUUUGCUAGUUUAUUUUGUAUUUUGAUGUUUAGUUUAACAUAAUGUUUUAUUAUUGUGGUUGAAAACCUUUAUAAUAAAUUUUAACAUAAUAUUUUGAUGUCAUGUAAAUACUAAAUUUUAUUUAACUUUAAUUUUAGGUAAACUUGUACUAGUUCUCGAGUCGAGUUUACUUAAGCAAAACGAGUUGAGGUAAACUCUCAAGUUGUAAAACCUUAUAUGUACCACCAAUGCACUUGCUAGGAUUAUGUUAGGAAGAAGAGUAUUCAAUGAUGGCAAUGGUGGUUGUGACCCUAAAGCUGAUGAGUUCAAGGAAAUGGUUCUUGAAUUGAUGGUGUUAGCUGGAGUUUUUAAUAUAAGUGAUUUUAUUCCUUCAUUAGAAUGGCUAGACCUUCAAGAAGUUCAAGCUAAAAUGAAAAAAUUACACAAACAAUUUGAUGCAUUUUUAACAAACAUUAUUGAGGAACAUGAGGCAUCUAAUUAUAAGAAUGAAAAACAUAAGGAUUUAUUGUUACUUAAAGAGGAAACGGAUGAUGAUGGAAACAAACUCACUUAUAUUGAAAUCAAAGCACUACUUUUGAUAAGUUAUCUACUUUUGAUGCAUUUUAAAUUUUUUUUUUUUUUUUUGUUAUGCUACUUGUUCUGUUUAAAGUAUUAUAUAUCAUGUCACAAUUUUAUUUUAUAUUAAAUAAAUUAUUUUUUCAAUACUUAUUUUUAUUAUACAAUAAUUCGUUCUAUGCUUAUAAAAAUUUCAUUAUCACUUCUAAAAAAAGAAUUGUGUUAUUUGAACAUCCAUACAUGUGACAACUUUUGUGACAACCAAAAUUUUGCAAGGAAAUAAGAUAGUGGCAUAAAAACCAAAGCAAUAGAGAGAGAAAGUAAAAAGAUAAUGUGAGUAUAAGAGAGAAAAUUGUCAAAAAAGUUGUAAAAAAUGAUUGUUCAAAUAUCAUUUCUCCUAAAAAAAAAAAUGUUCAUUAUCAUUUUCUUUUCAAUCCUUACCAUUUUUAGUGGAUUUUCAAUUCUUACCUAACACUCUAACAUUGACAUUUGACACCUGAAAGCCCAGUUGAAACCAAUUUUAUAAAGAAUCAACCUGCAGUUCAAUCAUUUUAUUCAAGAGACAUUGGACCUUUUUUUUUUUAUUUUUUUUUUUUAAUUCUUACCUAAUUGUGGUUGCACCUACAACUCAUCCCAAAAGACUAUUUGGGGACUGAAUUUCAAACAAACCUUUUAACUCAAGUAAUCCAUCCAUCCAUGUAAAGAAGCCUAUAUUUUUUGUCCAAACUUAACUGUCACUCCUCUUCAUCUUAAAGUCCACUUGCAAAGUUUUUUGGGGUUAAAAUGGCUUCUGUGAAUAAGAAAGAUUACAAGGGUAUUCAAAAUCCAUUACAGUUGAAAAAGGUUAUACAAAUUGAAGACAUACAUUUCUCAAUUUAAAAUGUUACAUUAAUUAUAUUUUACUUUGUGAUUAGACCUAAUUUAUCAAAGUUAAAUGUGGUAAUGGUGAAUUGGGCAAUGCAUUAUUUUUUUUCUCGCAUAUCAUUGAGCUUACAAAUUAAAAGAAAUAGAGGAACGGAAAAAUUAUUAAUAACUAAGGUAGCACUUUUAUAAUUGAGCUUACGUAUCAUUUUACAAUUGUCUUCUAUAAGAUUUAAAUUUCGUUCCUUGAAGAUCACAAGGCAAACUCUUAUCACUGAACUACAUCUCAUGACAUGCAAAAUCAACAAACUAGUUUUAUAACACAUGUAUCACAAUAACAAAAAAAAAAUUAUAGAGCAUAUACUUAUAAGUUUGAUUUUUGGUCUAGAACAUGUUUGCAGCUGGGAAAGACACAUCAUCAAGUACUACAUAAUGGGCCAUUGCAAAAAUGAUCAAAAACCCAAGAAUCUUAGCUCAAGUUCAACAAGAAUUGGACAAUGUUGUGGGCCGAGAUAGGAACGUGAAAAGAUGACAUACCUAACCUACCUUACCUACAAACAGUGAUAAAAGAAACAUUUCGCUUGCACCCAUCAACACCUCUUUCCCUCCCACGAAUUGCAUCUGAAAGUUGUGAGAUUUUUGGGUACCACGUUCCAAAGAGUUCAACUCUUUUGGUUAAUGUAUGGGCCAUUGCUCGUGAUCCAAAAGAAUGGGUUGAUCCAUUAGGAUUCAAACCUGAAAGGUUCUUAUUAGGUGGUGAGAAGUGUGAUGUUGAUGUUAAGGGAAAUGAUUUUGAAGUUAUACCUUUUGGUGCUGGACGUAGAAUAUGUGUUGGGAUGAGUCUUGGGCUUCGUAUGGUACAGCUUCUAACAGCUACACUAGCCCAUUCAUUUGAUUGGGAACUUGAAAAUGGGCUCAAUGCUG